CUUGGUGCGACUUUUCUUGUAACCAAAGGCCCUUUCUGCCUUGUGUAGGACCUGGCUGUCCCUCCCUCUUGUGUUUUGUCUGACCUUAAAGUAGCAUUAUACAGAGAAAAUGAUGAAUUCAUAAUACCCUUCCUAGCUGCACAGGUAGAGUCUGACAGAACUCCUACAGAGACAACCACAAAACAAUGUAAACGAUGCAUAAGAGUUUUCCGUUUUGGUUUUUUAUGGCUUUUUUUUUUUCCUUUCACUUAUAUUUGUGUGUACUGUGGGAAUAUAGCUUCCCCCACACAAGUGUAACUCAAGUUAGAAUAUUAUAAAUUUUCCUACCAACCCUCCGCGGGCUAAAAAGGAACACAGAGUCUCAGGCUGCAUGUACCUGACCUGGGUACCUGUGCUUACACGCACUGGGAAAUCUUGUGUUGCCAAGAUGAAGCUGAAUCCGACAGAUGGGCCUCAGCAGUGAAGAGCCAGGAUAUGGGGGCAGAGGCCACUUGAACGUGGUGGUCCACCUGGCCUGACCCAACCAGAGAAAAAGGAAGUGAGGUACCCAAAUAACGCCAGGGACUGGAGGCAGAGAUCUCCUGGUCCAGUUGUGAAAUCAACAGGACUGUCAAGAAGCCCGCUGAACCUGAGUCCCAGCACCCACCACGUCAUCAGAAAAGGCGUCAGACUGCUGUGCGCGCCCGCCCGGCCCGCCAGGAAAGCCUUACUGUGGACAAGCUGCAGCCUUGUCUCUGUCCAUUCUCCUGAGAAGAUCCACAUCUCUAAGGAGGAAACAAGAUGCAACAGCAUCCUCUUCCAUACGACUGUAAUGUCUAUGUCCCCUGGCUAUCACUCUUAAGAAUCCAGGUAUGCAGGAGCAAGCCAGGUGAAGACAGGUGCAGUUGGGACCUGGGCUGCCGGGAGCUCAGACAGAGCUCGGAUGCUUGCUUCCCUUUCCAAGUCUUAAAGGACUGUGUUUUCUGGUUCAGAAAUAUCACAAUCAAGACCCUCCUGCAAGCAAGCUUGUCUCUGAGCUCAGGAACAUUCCUGAGUCCCUCCUGGAUAGAUUGUCCCCAAUUCCAGCUUCCCAGGGCCACCGACUGAAUCCAAGGACCAGGGUGUAUGCAGGCUCCAGCAAACCUCAGAAGAAUGUACCGUGUCUCAUUCCAUUUCUCACAGUCUUACCAAAAAAAAUCAGUGGCCAGACAGCCUUGUAGCCAAACGCUGAGGAGUGACAGACAGCCCAAAGCCGUGGUCUCCCCACCCAGCCCCUCGAAGAGGUACCAAGGCGAGACUUGAGGCAAGGGUGGCAGUAUUUUUCCAGCUUCUACUUUUCCAAGUCUCCAGUCCUUGGUAAGUCCUGAACAUCCCACUGGAAACAAUUUUGAGCCUAGGCUGAGGUGGUGGACAGACUCCACAUGGAGUGAAGGGGUCUGCCAGCCAUCAGCUUCCACAGGGCAAGAAAAGCCAAUCAGAUUGCCUCCCAGGUCCAACCAGUCACCUACCUGCCUCAGCUCUGGACUCUGAGCUCUGCCAGCACCAGAAAUUUGAGUCAAGCCAGAACAGCCCUAUCAGACAGUGAUGGUGUUCCCACUGAGAGAACCCCAAGAGGAUGCUGCCCAAAUGCAAGUUUAAUAUUCUGGUGGUUGGAUUGUCUUUCCUCCCCCUUGGGUUUGUUCUGUUUUGUGGUGUUGGGGACCUAACUAGGGCCUUGGCUGUGUGAGACAAGUGGCCCGCCCUGUGUUACAUCUCCAGCCCCUGAAUGUAUUACUUGGAACGUGAUUCUAAUCAGUUUCUCCCAUCCCAAAAAUUCCUGGUAAUCUGGUUUGUUCCAGAGCCAAAUAAAACAGACAAGAUUG
ensembl:lincRNA